rnacentral:rRNA from 1 species
GACGAACGCUGGCAGCGUGCUUAACACAUGCAAGUCGAACGGAAAGGCCCUGCUUUUGUGGGGUGCUCGAGUGGCGAACGGGUGAGUAACACGUGAGUAACCUGCCCUUGACUUUGGGAUAACUUCAGGAAACUGGGGCUAAUACCGGAUAGGAGCUCCUGCUGCAUGGUGGGGGUUGGAAAGUUUCGGCGGUUGGGGAUGGACUCGCGGCUUAUCAGCUUGUUGGUGGGGUAGUGGCUUACCAAGGCUUUGACGGGUAGCCGGCCUGAGAGGGUGACCGGCCACAUUGGGACUGAGAUACGGCCCAGACUCCUACGGGAGGCAGCAGUGGGGAAUUUUGCACAAUGGGCGGAAGCCUGAUGCAGCAACGCCGCGUGCGGGAUGACGGCCUUCGGGUUGUAAACCGCUUUCGCCUGUGACGAAGCGUGAGUGACGGUAAUGGGUAAAGAAGCACCGGCUAACUACGUG